AAAUCUCAACCUGAAUAAGCGAUU
rnacentral:miRNA from 1 species